CCUACGGGAGGCAGCAGUGGGGAAUUGUUCGCAAUGGGCGCAAGCCUGACGACGCAACGCCGCGUGGAGGAUGAAGAAUUUCGGUUCGUAAACUCCUUUCGAUCGGGAAGAACAGCUCUUGAGUUAAUAGCUUGGGAGUCUGACGGUACCGAGAGAAGAAGCCCCGGCUAACUCUGUGCCAGCAGCCGCGGUAAUACAGGGGGGGUCAAGCGUUGUUCGGAAUUACUGGGUGUAAAGGGCUCGUAGGCGGCCAACUAAGUCCGACGUGAAAUCCCAAAGCUUAACUUUGGAACUGCGUCGGAUACUGGAUGGCUUGAAUUCGGGAGAGGGAUGCAGAAUUCCAGGUGUAGCGGUGAAAUGCGUAGAUAUCUGGAGGAAUACCGGUGGCGAAGGCGGCAUCCUGGACCGACAUUGACGCUGAGGAGCGAAAGCUAGGGGAGCAAACGGGGAUUAGAUACCCCGGGUAGUCCUAGCCCUAAACGAUGAAUGCUUGGUGUGGCGGGUAUCGAUCCCUGCCGUGCCGAAGCUAACGCAUUAAGCNUCCGCGUGGAGUACGGUCGCGAGCGNGAACGUACAAUAGAGUUAGUACGGCGUGAGACGUAGACCGACGGACGACGACGAGGGAGGAGG
rnacentral:rRNA from 1 species